UACGUAGGUGGCAAGCGUUGUCCGGAUUUACUGGGCGUAAAGGGCGUGCAGGCGGUCUGUUAAGUGCAGGGUGAAAGCUCCCGGCUCAACUGGGAGAGGUCCUUGCAUACUGGCGGACUUGAGGGGGGUAGAGGAAAGUGGAAUUCCCGGUGUAGUGGUGAUAUGCGUAGAUAUCGGGAGGAACACCUGUGGCGAAGGCGGCUUUCUGGGCCCUACCUGACGCUGAGACGCAAAAGCGUGGGGAGCGAACCGG
rnacentral:rRNA from 1 species